rnacentral:lncRNA from 1 species
UUAAAACUUUGGGGGUCAAAGUAUAUUCUUCGGUCAUUCUUUAACUAGGGCAAUCACAUCACCUCUCCACCCAACCCAAAAUUAAAGGUGAGUUGUUCAAAGUACUUGUUAUUCAUCUGGAGGCUAGGUCACAGCAACGGCCACUGAAGAAAUCUGAAGGGUUUUAUUUAUACAGCCAUUCCCAGAUUAGUACUGAAAUGGGUCAAUCAUUAUGGGGUUUCAUAAAUGCACUAUGAAUUUACCUAUCUAAUUUGGAUCUUAUGGCUACAGAACGUGUGAUAACUGUUAUGUAAUUUAAUUUAGAUCAUGGCUAGAGAUAGCUGUUACCUGAUUUAAUUGCUAAUUAAUUAUUUUAUCUGUUGCAGAAUAUCAUUAGACUACUGAGGAGCUUAUAUAAAUGGAUUCUAAACCAGUAAUAUGCAUAACCAUCACCAUUAGCACAAAUAAUAGAGGAAAGUUGCAGUUUCAGUUGGUAAAUUUUUCUUCCUUUUGUCACUUCAUAUGAGUAUUCUUGAUGAUCUCGAUUCUUGAAAUUGAAUACUCUGUUUUAUGCGUAAUUCUUAUAAACCUACACUCUCCAAUGUUUAGCAAGAUCUUUUACAAAUUUCAUAAGUUUUUAUUUUAGUUUACACCUAAAACUAAAAAGUUAAAUUACCUAAAUGUCCUUGUUAUUAAGUUAAAUACUAUACCAAAUUUAGUAAACAUUACAACAAACGCCUACUAACAUCAGGCAACCUUCAACAGUCACAUCCCUUCAAAUGCUAUGUUAUUUGCUUACUUAGUAAAUAAAUCUCACAGUAGUAAAAACUGCCUAGACACUUGGUGAAUCUCAUUUUACAAAAUGCGUCUCUGAAGAAUUUAAAGGGUUUGCAAUUAUCUCGCAUCGAUCUUCUACAAGAAGUUGGCUGACCGCUAAUGACUGCAUAGUGGAAAUUUAUGGGAUUAACUGUGAGAAUUCGAUUUUUUUGUCUUUGCAUGCUUGACUUUUCAAUUAUGUGUAGGGAAGCAUGGUAAUAUGGUAUAAUGUCUCCAUGUUCUCUGGUCUAAAGUACGUUUAGGCAAGUAUGCAUGUUGUGCAAGGUUCAUCCCGCUGUUUUGUCUUCCUUAGUACUUUUUGCUUUAGUUCAGAAGGGGAAGAAUAAAAAAUAUAUAGUAUAUAACUUAAAGAAGAAGCACAACAAUGCUUCCAAAUGCCUCCGUGGAGGAUAAAAAGAAUGAAGAUACAUACCAAAAGGUAUAAUAUAUAGCAAGCGAAGUCCAUGCGCACCCUAUCAAAUAUUUAGUUUAUAUAUUAAUAAUGUUGACACUUGAUAUUUGUUGCUCUUGGAGAAUAGUUGUCACCUUGGUUUCAUUUUUUCUCUUCAAAAGAUCAAUGUGUUAACAAUUGCCUUUGUGCUUUUGAAUUGAAUUACUACUGUUUAGUUUUGCUUAUGUAUGACCGCUUUCUCUCAUUGUAAUGGUAUGAAUAAGAUACUGAUUUGAGAUUUAUGAUCAAUCAGUUUAUUUAUGAUCUUUCUCUUGAAUGAAUAUUUUUUAGAAGACGAUCUCGAGUUUGUAUCUUACAGAAAUCGUAAGACAAGGUGCUGCUCAAAAUGGCCAAAGUUGGCGGAUUAAGCUUAUUUGGUAGCGGCCAUGUUCCAGAAAAAUUAGUCAUUUCAGUUAUAUUAGCAGUUGAUGAAGCAAAGGUUUUGGGACAAUAUAAUUACUUGUGUAUGCGAGUUUUCUUGUGAUCAAUAAUUGGAUUCCUUAAUUAAAUAAUGAGAAUUGUCCAAUCUAAAAAGUUACUAUGUGUUUAUGUCG